rnacentral:misc_RNA from 1 species
UCCGGUUUGUCACCGGCAGUCUCAUUAGAGUGCCCAACUAAAUGUAGCAACUAAUGACAAGGGUUGCGCUCGUUGCGGGACUUAACCCAACAUCUCACGACACGAGCUGACGACAGCCAUGCAGCACCUGUGUUCCGGUUCCCUUUCGGGCACAGCCACCUUUCAGCAGCCUUCCAGACAUGUCAAGGGUAGGUAAGGUUGUUCGCGUUGCAUCGAAUUAAUCCACAUCAUCCACCGCUUGUGCGGGCCCCCGUCAAUUCCUUUGAGUUUCAUUCUUGCGAACGUACUCCCCAGGUGGGAUACUUAUCACUUUCGCUUAGCCACUCAGAUUGCUCCGAACAGCUAGUUAUCAUCGUUUACGGCGUGGACUAC